GUGUCUUGCCUACUUUGUGGUAAGAUGGGAUUCUCGAGCAAUAGAAUUUUAAUAUACUCCUCCUCCUUAACACUCCAGAAAUCAUAGAUAAGAAGAUAGGUUUCCAUUAUCACUAUCCAAUAAUAAUAAUUCUUCCCUAUAAAUACUGGUGGAGCUGGCAAGUUCACAUUUGAAGUCAUUUUCUUUUGUUAGAAUGAGGAGCACAAUCUCUCAAAGAAACUACUUUGAUAC
rnacentral:lncRNA from 1 species